AUUGAACGCUGGCGGCAUGCUUUACACAUGCAAGUCGAACGGUAACAGGCCUUCGGGUGCUGACGAGUGGCGAACGGGUGAGUAAUGCAUCGGAACGUACCCAGAGGUGGGGGAUAACGCAGCGAAAGCUGUGCUAAUACUGCAUGUGAUCUGAGGAUGAAAGCGGGGGACCGAGCAGCAAUGUUUGGCCUCGCGCCUUUGGAGCGGCCAAUGUCGGAUUAGCUAGUUGGUGGGGUAAAGGCCUACCAAGGCGACGAUCCGUAGCUGGUCUGAGAGGACGACCAGCCACACUGGGACUGAGACACGGCCCAGACUCCUACGGGAGGCAGCAGUGGGGAAUUUUGGACAAUGGGCGCAAGCCUGAUCCAGCAAUGCCGCGUGCGGGAAGAAGGCCUUCGGGUUGUAAACCGCUUUUGGCAGGAACGAAACGGUGUCCGCUAAUACCGGGCGCUAAUGACGGUACCUGCAGAAUAAGCACCGGCUAACUACGUG
rnacentral:rRNA from 1 species